rnacentral:tRNA from 1 species
AGAAAUUUAGGGUUAAACUAGACCAAAAGCCUUCAAAGCUUUUAGUAAGUUAAAAACACUUAAUUUUCUG